rnacentral:rRNA from 1 species
GAAAAUGAGCAAGGGUCUUCGCAUUUGACUCAACGAGUGCGAAGGGUAAGGAAGCUAGCCGAGCCUAGGAGGAUUCGCUUAGGUAGCUGGAACGUAGGGUCUCUGAUAGGGAAGCUUCGGGAGCUAGUUGAUGCAGCGGUGAGGAGAGGGGUUGAUAUCCUUUGCGUCCAAGAAACCAAAUGGAGAGGACAGAAGGCGAAGGAGGUGGAUGAUACCGGCUUCAAGCUGUGGUACACGGGGACGGCUGCAAACAGAAAUGGUGUAGGCAUCUUGAUCAACAAGAGCCUCAAGUAUGGAGUGGUAGACGUCAAGAGACGUGGGGACCGGAUUAUCCUGGUCAAGCUGGUAGUUGAGGACUUGGUUCUCAAUGUUAUCAGCGCGUAUGCCCCGCAAGUAGGCCACAAUGAGAACACCAAGAGGGAGUUUUGGGAAGGCCUGGAAGACAUGGUUAGGAGUGUACCGAUUGGUGAGAAGCUCUUCAUAGGAGGAGACCUUAAUGGCCACGUGGGUACAUCUAACACAGGUUUUGAAGGGGCGCAUGGGGGCUUUGGCUAUGGCAUCAGGAAUCAAGAAGGAGAAGAUGUCUUAAGCUUUGAUCUAGCCUACAACAUGAUUGUAGCU